AUGAUAAUACUUAAGUCAAACCAUUUUCUUUCUUUACAGGCUCCAGAGACUACAUUUCCCUGAUGGUUCUGCCAAGCCUGAUGCCACCUGCAGUCUUCAGGAUGGGCCUGAAAGACCGUGAGGACUACAGUGUCUGACGCCAUGAAGGCCUUCAUCGAUCUUAAGCCUGUCGGAACAAACAUGGUGGAGUACCUUCAGGCAGCAGACCAGACCAGGCCGUAGCCCUACACCCUGGUGUUGGGAGGAGAGGAGUGCUGCUCACAGCCAUUCACCGGUCUCAGUGGGCCGGCCCUGGAGCAGGACAGCGGUGUCCAAGCUGUACAUGUUUGUUUCAAAAGUUUUUAUGUGUUCGAUAUCAAUUUCCCAAAGCAGUGUUUCUCUGCUUGGCAUUUCCUCCAG